rnacentral:rRNA from 1 species
GACGAACGCUGGCGGCGUGCUUAACACAUGCAAGUCGAACGGAAAGGCCCUGCUUUUGUGGGGUGCUCGAGUGGCGAACGGGUGAGUAACACGUGAGUAACCUGCCCUUGACUUUGGGAUAACUUCAGGAAACUGGGGCUACUACCGGAUAGGAGCUCACGCUGCAUGGUGGGGGUUGGAAAGUUUCGGCGGUUGGGGAUGGACUCGCGGCUUAUCAGCUUGUUGGUGGGGUAGUGGCUUACCAAGGCUUUGACGGGUAGCCGGCCGGAGAGGGUGAACGGCCACAUGGGGACUGAGAUACGGCCCAGACUGCUACAGGAGGCAGCGGUGGGGAAUAUGGCACAAUGGGCGGAAGCCUGAUGCAGCGACGCCGGGUGCGUGAAGACGGCCUUCGGGGUGUAAACCGCUGUCGCCUGUGACGAAGCGUGAGUGACGGUAAUGGGUAAAGAAGCACCGGCUAACUACGUG